rnacentral:lncRNA from 1 species
GGGGCCUCGAACCCUAAAUGUGUGAUUGAGACAUUCUGCUUUGCGAUGAGCACUCUGACCAAGUCUAAACAAGUUCCUUCUAAUUUACGACAACAAAGAGGACAAAAUAAGUAUCCUUUUGAAUCGGACUCAAGUAAGAACUAUCUAAUACGAUUAUUUUUCUGCCAAUUUUGGUCUAAUUGCUAUAGGCCUAAAAGAUUAGGCUUAACGGGGCGAACACGUCAGAAGUAUUUUCGCUUCGCAGGUUGUUCUUGGUAGAGAAAUUCCCAGAAACUCUCCCCCGGAUCGUACGGGUAGUUGUUUUGCUAGAGUUAAACGUUGGCUAAGGUUGUAGCUAUAAAUCGUAUCGAAAAUCUGAUAGAGACGUUUACUGCGGGGUUGGCUAGAGCGGAUUACAUACAGCCUUUUAAAAUUGCUAACCGGGGACAUGCGGAUAGCCAGAGGGGUUAAACUAUGUUUCUGUUAGAAACGGGGGUAUACCGAAACGAGUAAUCGGGUUGUCCCAUUUUUAUUUCGAAAUUUUUACGAACAUCAUUUGAUGCGAUAUGUCCGGAUUGUACCUGAUGCUAGAUCGGAAGAG